CCUACGGGAGGCAGCAGUGAGGAAUAUUGGUCAAUGGACGAGAGUCUGAACCAGCCAAGUAGCGUGAAGGAUGACUGCCCUAUGGGUUGUAAACUUCUUUUAUAUGGGAAUAAAAUGUUCCACGUGUGGGAUUUUGUAUGUACCAUAUGAAUAAGGAUCGGCUAACUCCGUGCCAGCAGCCGCGGUAAUACGGAGGAUCCGAGCGUUAUCCGGAUUUAUUGGGUUUAAAGGGAGCGUAGGUGGAUUGUUAAGUCAGUUGUGAAAGUUUGCGGCUCAACCGUAAAAUUGCAGUUGAAACUGGCAGUCUUGAGGACAGUAGAGGUGGGCGGAAUUCGUGGUGUAGCGGUGAAAUGCUUAGAUAUCACGAAGAACUCCGAUUGCGAAGGCAGUUCACUGGACUGCAACUGACACUGAGGCUCGAAAGUGUGGGUAUCAAACAGGAAUAGAUACCCUUGUAGUC
rnacentral:rRNA from 1 species